GAGAUGCGAGGGAAUCCGUCCUUCAGUGGUGCGGCGAGCUUGAGAGAAAUGGACUUGAGCUGAGAGUGAAAGAAUCUGAAGGCUUGAGCUGAGAGGAAUGGGUGGUGACUGGUGCCUGCGUAAGUUGAGAGAAAUGGCAACUGAGUUUCGUGAUUUGUUGACGACGCCGGGGGCAGGCUGACGGAGAUAAGAGAGCCGACUAUCUGAGGGUUUAGGCUUAGACUGUG
rnacentral:misc_RNA from 1 species